CCGUGAUGCAUAAAGAGACAGUUCACCGGGUUUUGGAGAACUAAGCAACAGUGCAUAAUAAGGCCUCCCCCCGGAGACCAGCCCACUGCUGGGAGCGCCAUGUGGCUGAUUGUCAACCUUCGCUCUCCCCACUCUCUCUCCAUCACGUAGCUGCGGGAGGCCCUGAAACGCUUCCAAUCCAAGCAGAUUAUUCGGAGAUAAAGACUCGGCGACAAGAGCUCUCCGAAGGACACUCGGUUUUCCAUUUGCAGCUGUAUUAUUCCAAGAGUCGGUGGCAUCUGCGUGACUCUUCCAGAGAUGCGUUUCCUGCGCUCUGCUUCCCACUGGCACAAAUAGAUGAACAGAUUUCCGUCUCAUAAACAAGGUUCUGGUUCCACUGAGUGAUUGUGUAUGAAUUGCACUUAAUCAGCUCCUGUGUUCAAAUAUCGGCUCUGGCUGCCAAGCAUCGGGUCUGCUUAUAUACUCAUUAGUAGCUCCCCCUGUCCUCCGAGGCCUCGGCGUCAACAUCUAAACCGAAUUAUGCGGCUUAUCCUGAACCGAGAGAACGUCUUCUGUUUUCAAAACAAAUCAUGAGAAUAUUCAGCCCCUGUCCGAGGAAAGGCAACCCGAGGAAGUGUUGUCUUGCUCAGCGGCUCCCAUCUGACUUCUGUGAAGUAUGUAAAUACAGUAAAACGCUCGCACCUCAAGGCAGAGGAAGAGGAUGAAGGUCAGUCGUGGACUGAAGCUGCUUUGUGCUGCAGGAACGCUUGACAGUGUGCAUGAAUAAGUCCUGUGAUUCGUGCAUUACACUUGACGCCAUUUUUUCAAAUGAUAAAAAGGCGACUGAGUAAAGCAGUGCUUUUAAAUGAAGACGUUUUAACACACAAUCUCGCGUGAUAGAUGUUUUUUUAUCAAUUGAUAAGGCAUUUGUUAAUUACGUUUUGCAAGUAAUACAUUACCUUUUUCAUUAAUUACAAUUACAAUAUCUUUUAUUAUACGAUUUUCAGCAAAACGUUUGUGCAAAACUAUUAGUUAAAAUGAACGAGCCUAAUAAAAGAACUAUUUAUCAUUUAUUAUACAUUUUAAUUAAAUUAUUGCAAAUCAUUUUUGGAUUUAUUACAAAUGUGUUGCAUUUUGAUAGACAUUGAUUUUAGUAGAUAAAUGCGACAAAAUUAAAAUGCUCGUAAUUUAUGUAAAUGUUAAAAAAUGUGGAAAUGUUGCAAAAUUGUAUAAAAAUAAAAAGACUUAAGAAAUAAGGAUUUUUA